AUACGGAGGGGGUUAGCGUUGUUCGGAAUUACUGGGCGUAAAGCGCACGUAGGCGGAUUGGAAAGUUGGGGGUGAAACCCCAGGGCUCAACCCUGGAACUGCCUCCAAAACUAACAGUCUAGAGUUCGAGAGAGGUGAGUGGAAUUCCAAGUGUAGAGGUGAAAUUCGUAGAUAUUUGGAGGAACACCAGUGGCGAAGGCGGCUCACUGGCUCGAUACUGACGCUGAGGUGCGAAAGCGUGGGGAGCAAACAGGAUUAGAAACCCCAGUAGUCC
rnacentral:rRNA from 1 species